UAGGGAAUCUUCCGCAAUGGGCGAAAGCCUGACGGAGCAACGCCGCGUGAGUGAUGAAGGUCUUCGGAUCGUAAAACUCUGUUAUUAGGGAAGAACAAAUGUGUAAGUAACUAUGCACGUCUUGACGGUACCUAAUCAGAAAGCCACGGCUAACUACUUGCCAGCAGCCGCGGGAAUACGUAUGUGGCAAGCGUUAUCCGGAAUUGUUGGGCGUAAAGCGCGCGUAGGCGGUUUUUUAAGGCUGAUGUGAAAGCCCACGGCUCAACCGUGCAAGGUCAUUGGAAACUGGAAAACUUGAAUGCAGAAGAAGAAAGUGGAAUUCCAUGUGUAGCGGUGAAAUGCGCAGAGAUAUGGAGGAACACCAGUAGCGAAGGCGAAUUUCUGGUCUGUAACUGACGCUGAUGUGCGAAAGCGUGGGGAUCAAACAGG
rnacentral:rRNA from 1 species